UAGGUUUGACAUGGAAUGGAAGAGUGGCAGAAAUGUCCUCGCCCGCAAGGGCCGUUUCAC
rnacentral:rRNA from 1 species